AGAGUUUGAUCAUGGCUCAGAUUGAACGCUGGCGGCAUGCUUUACACAUGCAAGUCGAACGGCAGCAUGGGCUUCGGCCUGAUGGCGAGUGGCGAACGGGUGAGUAAUGCAUCGGAACGUGCCCAGUCGUGGGGGACAACUAGUCGAAAGAUUAGCUAAUACCGCAUACGACCUGAGGGUGAAAGUGGGGGAUCUUCGGACCUCACGCGAUUGGAGCGGCCGAUGUCAGAUUAGCUAGUUGGUGGGGUAAGAGCCUACCAAGGCGACGAUCUGUAGCGGGUCUGAGAGGAUGAUCCGCCACACUGGGACUGAGACACGGCCCAGACUCCUACGGGAGGCAGCAGUGGGGAAUUUUGGACAAUGGGGGCAACCCUGAUCCAGCCAUGCCGCGUGCGGGAAGAAGGCCUUCGGGUUGUAAACCGCUUUCGGACAGAAAGAAAUCGCACAGGUUAAUACCUUGUGUGGAUGACGGUACUGUAAGAAGAAGCACCGGCUAACUACGUGCCAGCAGCCGCGGUAAUACGUAGGGUGCGAGCGUUAAUCGGAAUUACUGGGCGUAAAGCGUGCGCAGGCGGAUUGUUAAGCAAGAUGUGAAAUCCCCGGGCUUAACCUGGGAAUGGCAUUUUGAACUGGCAGUCUAGAGUGCGUCAGAGGGGGGUGGAAUUCCACGUAGCAGUGAAAUGCGUAGAGAUGUGGAGGAACACCGAUGGCGAAGGCAGCCCCCUGGGAUGACACUGACGCUCAUGCACGAAAGCGUGGGGAGCAAACAGGAUUAGAUACCCUAGUAGUCC
rnacentral:rRNA from 1 species